rnacentral:ncRNA from 2 species
UGUAAACUUUAGGGGUGUUCUUUUUAAGAACUGAGAAAUACCCUUUGAACCUGAUGCUGUUAGUACAGCCGAAGGGAAAAGUUGAAUUCUUUUU